GACGGAGCAGGCAAGCGUUGUUCGGAAUCACUGGGCUUAAAGCGCGUGUAGGCGGUCUCGCAAGUACCUUGUGAAAGCCCUCGUCUCAACCGAGGAACCGCUUGGUAUACUGCGAGACUUGAGGCAGGUAGGGGUGCUUGGAACUCUAGGUGGAGCGGUGAAAUGCGUAGAGAUCUAGGGGAACGCCUGUGGCGAAAGCGGAGCACUGGGCCUGACCUGACGCUGAGACGCGAAAGCGUGGGUAG
rnacentral:rRNA from 1 species